rnacentral:rRNA from 1 species
AUGGAGAGCGUGGCGCAGUCCAUCGUGAGUAAGGUCGGGCAAGUGCUAGCAGAGGAGUUCAAGGAGAUCCGCGGCGUCGGCGACAAGGUCAGGCACCUACGGGACGAGCUGGCGACCAUGAACGCCGUCCUCCGCGUCAUCUCCGAGGCGGAGCAGGACUCGGUCGACCACGUCGUCCGGGAGUGGGAGAAGCAGGUGCACGACCUCAUCUACGACGCUGAGAACUGCACCGACACUUACUCGCUCCGCAUCGUCCGCCCCAUCCCGCCCUUCACACGGGAUGACGUCCGCGGCAGACGGGUCACCUUUUGGGCCAGAAACAUGUUUGCCCGCGCCAAGCACAUUGUCAGAUAUAGGUAUGAGAAGGUUGUGCUGCAGCGUACCCUCGCUGCUGAUAUUAAUGCCCUCCUGGCUCGCGCCACCAUCGUCAGCGAACGCCGUGCUCGCUACGGCAUCAACCGGGUGGCGCUACCAAGAUCUGCAUGCUUAGGCCCUGUCUCGGUGGCAUCGUUCUCCAUGAGUGCCCUCCGUCGUGCCCAUGACACUUAUCAGUUUGUCGGAGAACAGGCCAACAACCUCGCCAAGAAGAUCAGGGCGUCGCUCCAUGAUGAGGAUCACAAGAGACUCAAGGUGUUCUCCAUUGUGGGGUUCGGCGGGCUGGGGAAGACAACCCUGGCAACGGAAUUGUGUCGGAAGCUCGACGUGGACUUCCCCUACCAGGCGCGGGUGUCUGUGUCACAAGUGUUCGAUGUUGAGAAGGACAUGAAGGGACUCCUAGUAAGAGUGCACCAGCAGAUUCUCAACGAGAAAGUAGAUGCUAAGGCUAAGCGAACUACCAAGGGAGAGGGGGCCGUGGGUCAAAUCGACAAGUUGAACGUGGAAGAGCUGUCGAGCAAGAUCAAGGAUCUUCUGCAUCACAAGAGAUGA